AUGGGUCGGCCCUCAUGGUCCAUAAUUAACAAUUUUUUCAUAUUAAUAGCUCCCAGAACAUACGACAAAACUUGUGCUUACCUUCUCUGCCAUGAACAUUGUUCAGGUCCACAUUGGUCUAAUGAAAAAACGUUGGCCUUGGUGCUUUCCUAUUCUUUGCCUCUUGGUGCAGGUGUAUGUCCUGCUAAUGGCGGUGAUUCAAAGCAUUGCUCUCUUUACAUAGUGGAUCCACCCAAAUCUUGCAUCCCUUCCCAUCAUUGUUCUUCGCCAGUCUCACCAUUGAUUUGGUUGUUGACAUCAUAUGCUGAUAGUGCCUCAGAAAUUUGGGAUCUUGAUUCUGCUCUGGGCAGAGAAUCACUGAUUUGUUGCUCGGUCUCGAUCCAGCCCCUCGCCCUAGUUUUCGCUCUCCGCCCAAUCUUCCACAACCACCUCCUCUUUGUGUUCUUGAUGGGUCCAAUAGAGAGAUGGAUCUUGGGAGGGGAUGGAUGA
rnacentral:rRNA from 1 species